CCUACGGGGCGCACCAGUGGGGAAUCUUGGACAAUGGGGGCAACCCUGAUCCAGCCAUGCCGCGUGAGUGAAGAAGGCCAUAGGGUCGUAAAGCUCUUUCGCCUGUGAAGAUAAUGACGGUAGCAGGUAAAGAAACCCCGGCUAACUCCGUGCCAGCAGCCGCGGUAAUACGGAGGGGGUUAGCGUUGUUCGGAAUUACUGGGCGUAAAGCGCACGUAGGCGGAUUGGAAAGUUGGGGGUGAAAUCCCGGGGCUCAACCCCGGAACUGCCUCCAAAACUCCCAGUCUUGAGUUCGAGAGAGGUGAGUGGAAUUCCGAGUGUAGAGGUGAAAUUCGUAGAUAUUCGGAGGAACACCAGUGGCGAAGGCGGCUCACUGGCUCGAUACUGACGCUGAGGUGCGAAAGUGUGGGGAGCAAACAGGAUUAGAUACCCUCGUAGUC
rnacentral:rRNA from 1 species